AUACGGAGGGUGCAAGCAUUAAUCGGAUUUAUUGGGCGUAAAGGGCGCGUAGGCGGAAUGGAAAGUCAGAUGUGAAAUCCCGGGGCUCAACCUCGGAAUUGCAUUUGAAACUCUCAUUCUUGAGGAUAGGCGGGGAAAACGGAAUUCCACAAGUAGCGGUGAAAUGCGUAGAUAUGUGGAAGAACACCGGUGGCGAAGGCGGUUUUCUAGCUUAUUCCUGACGCUGAGGCGCGAAAGCAAGGGGAGCGAACAGGAUUAGAUACCCUAGUAGUCC
rnacentral:rRNA from 1 species